ensembl:snoRNA
GGUCUGCCAUGAUGAACUGUAUGUUCAGUCGAUCUUUCAUCUGAUCCACCCUGAUGCCACAUGUGCCCUCAGCAGACC